rnacentral:rRNA from 1 species
UGGGGAAUAUUGCACAAUGGAGGGAACUCUGAUGCAGCGACGCCGCGUGAACGAAGAAGGCUUUCGAGUCGUAAAGUUCUUUUAUAUGGGAAGAUAAUGACGGUACCAUAAGAAAAAGCCCCGGCUAACUACGUGCCAGCAGCCGCGGUAAUACGUAGGGGGCUAGCGUUGUCCGGAAUGACUGGGCGUAAAGGGUUCGCAGGCGGAAAUGCAAGUCAGGUGUAAAAGGCAGGAGCUUAACUACGGUAAGCAUUUGAAACUGCAUAUCUUGAGAAGAGGAGAGGGAAGUGGAAUUUUUAGUGUAGGGGUGAAAUGCGUAGAUAUUAAGAAGAAUACCGGUGGCGAAGGCGGCUUACUGGGCUCAUUCUGACGCUGAGGAACGAAAGGGUGGGUAGCAAACAGG